UCCUACGGGAGGCAGCAGUAAGGAAUAUUGGUCAAUGGACGAAAGUCUGAACCAGCCAUGCCGCGUGAAGGAUGAAGGUUGUAAACUUCUUUUAUCUGGGACGAAAAAAGGGCUCACUUGACGGUACCAGACGGCUAACUCCGUGCCAGCAGCCGCGGUAAUACGGAGGGUGCAAGCGUUAUCCGGAUUCACUGGGUUUAAAGGGUAAGUCAGUGGUGAAAUCUCCGGGCUUAACCCGGAAACUGCCAUUGAUACUAUUCUGGAGGUAAGCGGAAUAUGUCAUGUAGCGGUGAAAUGCUUAGAUAUGACAUAGAACACCAUUGCGAAGGCAGCUUAUUGACACUGAGGCUCGAAAGCGUGGGGAUCAAACAGGAUUAGAUACCCUGGUAGUCCACGCCCUAAACGAUGGAUACUCGACAUGCAUUAAGUAUCCCACCUGGGAAGUACGACCGCAAGGUUGAAACUCAAAGGAAUUGACGG
rnacentral:rRNA from 1 species